rnacentral:rRNA from 1 species
AUUGAACGCUGGCGGCAUGCCUAACACAUGCAAGUCGAACGGGGGUAGCGAUACCCUAGUGGCGGACGGGUGAGGAAUGCGUAGGAAUUGGCCCACGAGUGGGGGACAACCUGGGGAAACCCAGGCUAAUACCGCAUACGCUCGCGAGAGGAAAGCGGGGGAUCUACGGACCUCGCGCUGGUGGACAAGCCUACGUCCGAUUAGCUAGUUGGUAGGGUAAAAGCCUACCAAGGCGACGAUCGGUAGCUGGUCUGAGAGGAUGAUCAGCCACACUGGGACUGAGACACGGCCCAGACUCCUACGGGAGGCAGCAGUGGGGAAUAUUGGACAAUGGGCGCAAGCCUGAUCCAGCAAUGCCGCGUGGGUGAAGACGGCCUGCGGGUUGUAAAGCCCUUUAAGCGGGGAGGAACGCCGGAACGCGAAUACCGUUUCGGACUGACGUUACCCGCAGAAUAAGCACCGGCUAACUCCGUGCCAGCAGCCGCGGUAAU